CUAGAACUGAAACUUUGCUUCCAUCUCCAACAUUCAGGAACCUCUCACCAUCAUCAAAUCUCCUACUGACCUGCAGACCCUGCAUCGAAUUGCAAAUAUGAUAAGGACUUUCGGUAUCCAAUACCCAGACAGUAGUAUCACAAAUGAAAAAGUUGCAAGGUGUUAUCAUAUAAUUACCUUGCUUCUUCUUCGGCCUGUUUGGGUCCAAAGAGGCAAUGUAUAGAGGACAGUUCCUCUUUCAGUGCCCCUGCUUCUUGCAAAAGAAGCACUCCGCCUGGCUCUGGUCGGGCUUGCGCUUCUUGGUCUGACCCUGUGCAGACGUCCCAGCAUGCGGCUGCACCUUCUUAUUCUUCUUCUUCUUGUUCUUCUUCCCUUUCUUAAAGGGUCGAUGACUAGAAGAAGA
rnacentral:lncRNA from 1 species